GACGAACGCUGGCGGCGUGCUUAACACAUGCAAGUCGAACGGAAAGGCCCUGCUUUUGUGGGGUGCUCGAGUGGCGAACGGGUGAGUAACACGUGAGUAACCUGCCCUUGACUUUGGGAUAACUUCAGGAAACUGGGGCUAAUAUCGGAUAGGAGCUCCUGCUGCAUGGUGGGGGUUGGUAAGUUUCGGCGGUUGGGGAUGGACUCGCGGCUUAUCAGCUUGUUUGUGGGGUAGUGGCUUACCAAGGCUUUGACGGGUAGCCGGCCUGGGAGGGUGACCGGCCACAAUGGGACUAAGAUACGGAGCAGACUCCUACGGGAGGCAGCAGUGGGGAAUAUUGCACAAUGGGCGGAAGCCUGAUGCAGAAGCGCCGCGUGCGGAAUGCCGGCCUUCGGGUUGUAAACAGCUUUCGCAUGUGACGAAGAGUGAGUGACGGUAAUGGGUAAAGAAGCACCGGCUAACUACGUG
rnacentral:rRNA from 1 species